rnacentral:rRNA from 1 species
GACGAACGCUGGCGGCGUGCUUAACACAUGCAAGUCGAACGGAAAGGCCCUGCUUUUGUGGGGUGCUCGAGUGGCGAACGGGUGAGUAACACGUAAGUAACCUGCCCCUGACUUUGGGAUAACGUCAGGAAACUGGGGCUAAUACCGGAUAGGAGCUCCAGCUGCAUGGUGGGGGUUGGAAAGUUCGGGCGGUUGGGGAUGGACUCGCGGCUUAUCAGCUUGUUGGUGGGGUAGUGGCUUACCAAGGCUUUGACGGGUAGCCGGCCUGAGAGGGUAACCGGCCACAUUGGGACUGAGAUACGGCCCAGACUCCUACGGGAGGCAGCAGUGGGGAAUAUUGCACAAUGGGCGGAAGCCUGAUGCAGCAACGCCGCGUGCGGGAUGACGGCCUUCGGGUUGUAAACCGCUUUCGCCUGUGACGAAGCGUGAGUGACGGUAAUGGGUAAAGAAGCACCGGCUAACUACGUG